CGAGCGAACUCUGGUAACUGAUUUUUGAUGCUUGCAUCAAAAUGAAGAUACAUUUGAGUGAGCGGCGGAUGGGUGAGUAACACGUGGGUAACCUGCCCUAAAGUGGGGGAUAACAUCUGGAAACAGGUGCUAAUACCGCAUAACAACAAUUUCCACAUGGUCAUUGUUUGAAAGAUGGUUCUGCUAUCGCUUUAGGAUGGACCCGCGGCGUAUUAGCUAGUUGGUGAGGUAACGGCUCACCAAGGCGAUGAUACGUAACCGACCAGAGAGGGUAAUCGGCC
rnacentral:rRNA from 1 species